UCCGUAGGUGAACCUUGCGGAGGGAUCAUUA
rnacentral:rRNA from 6 species